GCCUUCGUGGUCUAGUGGUCAGCACGUUCGCCGCGUAUUCGAGAGGUCCGUGGUUCGAGUCCCGGCGAGGGCA
rnacentral:tRNA from 1 species